GUGCCCGCAGCGCCGGGGGAUGGAGGGAGCCGGGAUGCGGAUCCGCCGAGGGUCGGGCUCAAGAUCUCCGAGAAUUCGCCGCGGCUGCGCGCAGGCACAGAGGGCACCCACCCGGCAACCACAGCCCUGAAUUAUUCAUCACUGGUGCCACCUCUCGAGAUGCAGCCGCCCCAGGAGCUCAGGUGUGACACACAACAAGGAGCCCGGUGGUUCCCUGGGUGCUGAGACAUCAUCUCAGGUAGAAGCCAGACAAAGAAGAGGAGCCCGUUUGGGUGCAAAGUGCCUGCACCGGGCAGGCAGCUUUGCUGUUCUCCCCUUUCCGUGGGAUCAGAAGGCGAAGAAGCCGAUUUUGGAGAGCAGUUCUGGCUCUGUGCGGCAGAGGGAAGCAGCCAGCGCCGCAUCGCCCAGAGCCACCGGCUGUCAGGCGCUAAGGACUUCAUUAUGUUCUCCAACAAAACACAAUGAACUCUGUCAUAAGUAAUCACACAGAGGACCACGCAGCCGGUAGCUCGGUGGAAGUGGCCCUCUGUGAGAGGUGGAGGGGAAUUUUCUCUGGCUUCGGGGAGAACUUACUGGGCUCGUGAAAGGAAGGAGCAAAGUGGGACACGGGGUUUGAUUCCCUCACCGGGACCUGACUCCACCUGUUGCUGUUUUACCACCAAAACACACUAAAAAUACAUAGAUUUCCUCUGA